rnacentral:lncRNA from 14 species
GUUGUUCAAAGCACAGCACAAGGGUUCAGCAGACAUUGGUUCUCCCGUCACCCUGUUCGCAGGGACAUGUUAUGUGUCCUUUGGCACGUCAUUGUUGCUCAUCUGUUCUAUGAGCACCUUGUCACCUCUGGAGGAUGCUCCGAGUUCCAUAGUGCUAGCAUAUGUACCCUUGGUCUGUAAUCGGUCCCAAGAAAGCUCUUUGAUACUCAGAGUGAUGCCUCCCACUCACAACACUCUGCAACUCCACUACACCUUCAGCCAUGUCAUCACUACUGCUGCAGUGCCAGCCACUGAGCAGGAAACUGAUUUAAGGAAUCCAGCUGCUGGGGACCAGCUACAGCACAAGAGGAAGAUAUGGGAGAAUGCCCAUAAGGAGCCACUGACUGCCAAAGGGCAACUUAUCCUGAAGGGUUAUUCAGGAUAAGAUGAGAUGCCACGUGAUGAGAUGUGCUCUAAGAUGCGAUGUGCUCUUUUUUAGAAGUCACAAAGAAUAAAGCAGAG